ACCUGUAGUCCAUCAGCAGAUGUGGAUGAGCCUGGAGCAAUCAGAGGAUGGGUCAGUGUUUGUGUCUGGGCCUCAGACAGCAAAAGCCACCACACACUGGGAUGUGGAACCACCAGUGACCUGGCUGGGCAGCACCAGGGGGUCUGGGACACCAGUAAAGGCUUCCUGGAGAGGCAUCCUAGGCUGGCUCAUCUAGGUUACCUGCUCCCCGCUGCCCUGGCCGCACGAAGUCCAAGCAGAGACAGGUUUGGUGCAGGGCUCUGGGAGGACAAAGACACAUCACCCUUCUCUGGGAAGGAGAGGACAGCCUGGGAAGACAUUGAGACAGCCUGCUGUUCUGUACUCAGCCCAAGAGCCCCUGGCCGGUUCCAGCGGACCACAGUCAGCAGCCAUCUACCUCAGCGCGCCCUGCUACCUCCUCUUUCUGUAGGCAAUCACUGACCUGUUUUCUGUGUCUAUAGAUGAGUUUGCAUUUUAAGAAUUUUAUAUAUUUAGAAUGAUAAGCCUGUAUUCUUUUGCUUUCUUUUUCUUUUCCUGAUUUUUAUUUUUAUGUUAAGUGGAUCAUAGUUUGUUUCUUUUUAUUUGGUGAGUAGUAAUGGAUUGUGUGAAUAUAUUAUAAUUUGUAAAUCCAUCCUCCUGGUGAUGGACAUUAGGUUAUUUCAGAUAAAUAAAGCUUUUUUUAAUUAAAUAAAGCUGCCACAAACAUUUGGGUAUAAGUCUUUUGUGCACUUACGUAUUGAUUUUUCUAGGGAAAAUAUCU
rnacentral:lncRNA from 1 species